rnacentral:misc_RNA from 1 species
AGAAAAGAAAUUAAAUCUCAUUUAUCCUUAACAUUUAGUGAUCAUUGUGAGAGAUAAUUCAGAUUAGAGAUCCUGUGGCCAGUCUUUUUAACUUUUGGACUGUUCACAAGAGGUACCCAGUUAAUGUACGGUGGAGAUCUAAUUGUCGGCGUAGCCAGGAGGUGCCACCUUAAUCUCCUUCAUAUUAAUCUGCAUUAGCGUAUAAAAAUAUAUAAAUGUGUG